AUUGAACGCUGGCGGCAGGCUUAACACAUGCAAGUCGAGCGGAGACUUCGGUCUUAGCGGCGAACGGGUGAGUAAUACCUAGGAAUCUGCCUAUUAGUGGGGGAUAACGAAUCGAAAGGUUCGCUAAUACCGCGUACGUCCUACGGGAGAAAGGGGGGAGUCUUCGGACCUCUCGCUAAUAGAUGAGCCUAGGCCGGAUUAGCUAGUUGGUAGGGUAAAGGCCUACCAAGGCGACGAUCUGUAGCUGGUCUGAGAGGAUGGCCAGCCACACUGGAACUGAGACACGGUCCAGACUCCUACGGGAGGCAGCAGUGGGGAAGUAUUGGACAAUGGGGGCGAACCCUGAUCCAGCCAUGCCGCGUGUGUGAAGAAGGCCUCGGUU
rnacentral:rRNA from 1 species